UACAGAGGUCCCAAGCGUUGUUCGGAUUCACUGGGCGUAAAGGGUGCGCAGGUAGCUGGAAAAGUUUGAUGUGAAAUCUCCGGGCUUAACCCGGAAAUGGCAUUGAAUACUCUUCAGCUGGAGGUUUGGAGGGGGGACUGGAAUUCUUGGUGUAGCAGUGAAAUGCGUAGAUAUCAAGAGGAACACCAGUGGCGAAGGCGAGUCCCUGGACAACACCUGACACUGAGGCACGAAAGCUAGGGGAGCAAACAGG
rnacentral:rRNA from 1 species